rnacentral:rRNA from 1 species
UAAACAAAUUUUGUACUGUGAAACUGCGAAUGGCUCAUUAAAUCAGUUAUAGUUUAUUUGAUAAUACCUUACUACUUGGAUAUCCGUGGUAAUUCUAGAGCUAAUACAUGCAAUAAAAGGCCGACUUCUGGAAGGCCUGUAUUUAUUAGAUACAAAAACCAUCCCCUUUACCGGGUUCUUUGGUGAUUCAUAGUAACUUUUCGAAUCGCAUGACUUUACGUCGGCGAUGGUUCAUUCAAAUUUCUGCCCUAUCACCUUUUGAUGGUAGUAUAGAGGACUACCAUGGGUUUAACGGGUAACGGCGAAUUAGGGUUCGAUUCCGGAGAGGGAGCCUGAGAAACGGCUACCACAUCUAAGGAAGGCAGCAGGCGCGCAAAUUACCCAAUCCUGAUUCAGGGAGGUAGUGACAAUAAAUAACAAUCCAGGGCUUCUGUCUUGGAAUUGGAAUGAGAACAAUUUAAAUCCCUUAACGAGGAACAAUUGGAGGGCAAGUCUGGUGCCAGCAGCCGCGGUAAUUCCAGCUCCAAUAGCGUAUAUUAAAGUUGUUGCAGUUAAAUAGCUCGUAGUUGAAUUUUGGGCCGGGCUUUUCGUGGUCGUGCCUUAUGGGUAUUGCACUGCGGGCCUGGUCUUUCCUUCUGGGGAACAUGCGUGCGCNAAAGCGUGUGUGUGGGAUCCAGGACUUUUACUUUGAAAAAAUUAGAGUGUUCAAAGCAGGCAUUAUUGCUCGAAUACAUUAGCAUGGAAUAAUAGAAUAGGACUUUGGUUCUAUUUUGUUGGUUUCUAGGACCGAAGUAAUGAUUAAUAGGGAUGGUUGGGGGCAUUAGUAUUUAAUUGUCAGAGGUGAAAUUCNUGGAUUUAUUAAAGACUCGCUGCUGCGAAAGCGUUUGCCAAGGACGUUUUCAUUAAUCAAGAACGAAAGUCAGGGGAUCGAAGAUGAUCAGAUACCGUCGUAGUCCUGACUGUAAACUAUGCCGACUCGGGAUCGGGCGUCGUAUAUAUACAUGACGCGCUCGGCACCGUAUGGGAAACCAUAAGUCUUUGGGUA